GUGAAUGCUGCUGCUGCAACCACUGAGCAGAGGAGGUGCCAAAAGUGACAUCAAUGCCUCAGGAAAGAGGGGUCUGUCAGAUCUGCAGCUCAGGCAAACACAUCCUGCUUCCAGAGAGAGGCCCCCACACAGCCCAGCUAUUCAGGCUGGUAGUAAUGAAGAUGCUGUUGUGUUGGAGAAUCCUCCAGUCAAGGCUGAACUUUAAAUGUAAACUUGGAAAGUGUUCUCUGAGCCAAACCUCACCAAUCUGGCCUUGUGGGCCCAGCACAGAAGAUGAAAUGUGUACACUGGGCUCUGUAGGAUUACUGCUGGAGAGACUCCUUCACCUGCAGCUCAAAGAAAAAAUAAAUGUUUGCACUGAACCAGGCAGUGACUUGGCAAAUGAAAACAGGAGCCACAUCUGCUGUUGAAUCACUUGCAGUUUUCUUGACUUCCGAGUCACAGGGGAUCCUAUUAAGUAGAAAAAGCAGGUGUCACCAAUGGCAGAGCAGCGUGUUGCUUGAGAGGCUUUUUCAGCUUCAAAGGUGUGACUUCUUCCAGAAGGUCCCAUCUGAAUCUCUCCUGAUCCAGCAGCAGCAGCACCUCCCCGUGCUGUGAUCACACAGCUCUGUGCUGUAGCCUGGUAGGGAACAACAA